UACGUAGGUGGCGAGCGUUAUCCGGAAUUAUUGGGCGUAAAGAGCGCGCAGGUGGUUGAUUAAGUCUGAUGUGAAAGCCCACGGCUUAACCGUGGAGGGUCAUUGGAAACUGGUCGACUUGAGUGCAGAAGAGGAGAGUGGAAUUCCAUGUGUAGCGGUGAAAUGCGUAGAUAUAUGGAGGAACACCAGUGGCGAAGGCGACUCUCUGGUCUGUAACUGACGCUGAGGCUCGAAAGCGUGGGGAGCAAACAGGAUUAGA
rnacentral:rRNA from 1 species